rnacentral:rRNA from 1 species
AUUGAACGCUGGCGGCAGGCCUAACACAUGCAAGUCGAGCGGAUGAAGAGAGCUUGCUCCUGGAUUCAGCGGCGGACGGGUGAGUAAUGCCUAGGAAUCUGCCUGGUAGUGGGGGAUAACGUCCGGAAACGGGCGCUAAUACCGCAUACGUCCUGAGGGAGAAAGUGGGGGAUCUUCGGGACCUCACGCUAUCAGAUGAGCCUAGGUCGGAUUAGCUAGUUGGUGGGGUAAAGGCCUACCAAGGCGACGAUCCGUAACUGGUCUGAGAGGAUGAUCAGUCACACUGGAACUGAGACACGGUCCAGACUCCUACGGGAGGCAGCAGUGGGGAAUAUUGGACAAUGGGCGAAAGCCUGAUCCAGCCAUGCCGCGUGUGUGAAGAAGGUCUUCGGAUUGUAAAGCACUUUAAGUUGGGAGGGAGGGCAGUAAGUUAAUACCUUGCUGUUUUGACGUUACCAACAGAAUAAGCACCGGCUAACUUCGUGCCAGCAGCCGCGGUAAUACGAAGGGUGCAAGCGUUAAUCGGAAUUACUGGGCGUAAAGCGCGCGUAGGUGGUUCAGCAAGUUGGAUGUGAAAUCCCCGGGCUCAACCUGGGAACUGCAUCCAAAACUACUGAGCUAGAGUACGGUAGAGGGUGGUGGAAUUUCCUGUGUAGCGGUGAAAUGCGUAGAUAUAGGAAGGAACACCAGUGGCGAAGGCGACCACCUGGACUGAUACUGACACUGAGGUGCGAAAGCGUGGGGAGCAAACAGG